UUACUGUACAAAAUUUCAGACAAUUUGGUUUAGUUUAAGCCGUUUAACUAUUCAUUUUAUUCUAAAAAAUCAGCCUUUCGCAUGCUUAAUUAAUGCAUUUACCUAAUUUGCAUAUUGCUAACAUAUGCAAAUUAGGCAAAUGCAUUAAUUAAGCAUGCAAAUAGCUGAUUCUCGGGAAAAAUGUAACUUUGCGUGAAUAGUUAAAUGGCUUAAACUAAACCAAAUUGUGUGAAAUUUUGUACAGUAAUUAAAAACCCGACAAAGUUUCCAUCUAUUAACUCAAAAUAUGAUUACAGCUUUUAAAGUUUGUGCGCAAGCCAUUUUUAUUUUGUUGGAAAAGACACACCCCCCUGGUUCACAAUAUUUGAGUUCAAGAAAUUUUUUUCAUUAUUCUAUAUUUUAAGUACCCAAAGAAGCUAUAUCUAUAAAAAACCGGAUACAAAUCGGUGUUUUGCGAAAUUGAGAGUAAUUUCAAAUCUGUUCAGUUUUUUUUUAUACACCCUGUAUAUAUAUUUCAAUAAAGGUUGUCCUUUGCAAACCUUAAACUUUAAAACCUUAAACCUUAAAUUCUAAGCGCGCAAAGCGUAUUGGGAGCACGAUUUAAGCAGUUUAGAAAGCAUAUACGGAGCCCAUUUCUCAGAGACAUGGUAAACAUCUCCCUGCGAAAACAUUUCACUCACAAACAACUGCAAUAUACAACUGCUAAGCUUGAAAUUUGUGCUCCCAUUAUGCUUUGCGCGCUUAGAGUUUAAGGUUUAAGGUUUACAGUUUAAGGUUUGCAAAGGACAACCUUUUUUGAAUUAGCUGUAUAUAUAUAUAUAGUAUUAGCUAUAUAUAUAUAUAUAGUGUGUGAUAGUGUGUUUGUAUUAGUUAAGUAUUAGUGUGUAUAAUAGGUUUUUAAUAUUGUAUUCAAACGGCCCCUUGAAAAUCAGUUUCUUUGUGCUGAAGGGCUACCGUUUUUAAACAAGUUUAAAUAAUAAUAUCAUAUAACCUGCAUGGGUCCUACGGUCUGUUAGUAGUUCAGUCCAAGCUGCAACCUUGUGCAAGGUUGUUUGUAGUUGUCUUGUUAAAAUACAAUAAAAAUAGAUCGAAAGUGAGAGCAUGAUAAACUGAACCUUUUUCUCAAUGUUUCAAUAGAAAACGCGCAUGAGCAGAGCAACUUUGAUCUCCACUUUAAAGUUUCUUUUAAUUUCCAUGCAUCUUACAUCACAGUUUUGUAGUGUAUAUAGUGUAUAUAGAACAUAUGCAGUAAAUGUCGUUCUUUACAUUCAUACUGUUGUUCAUAGAUGUAAUUAAAAUUGUUGUAUGUCCUAACGUUUAUGUAUAUAAUAUGUAUUCUUGUAAUACCUAUAAGUAAUUAUGUAAUGUAAGCUUUUGGUGGGACUUAAUUAGGGACUCACGUCCUGUUGUCCUUACCAUCAGUCAUUUGAUUGUAAAGUUAAUAAAAAAAAUAGAAAUAGUAGAUAUAGCAGCUGAUAUUUAGGACUCUUAAUAGUUACUAGUAGUGGCUAAUGUCUUGUGGAGACCAGUCAGUGCUGUUAAUAAUGAAACUAAUAUUUGCUCUUUAGCACACGAGCAAUUCCAUUAUAAUGUUAGAGAUAUUCUUUAAUUUUGUAAAAUUACAUUUUUGUAUUAAUGUUGAUUGCAAAAAUAAAUUUAUUAUAUAAGUG
rnacentral:lncRNA from 1 species